CUUGCACUUGCCUGUGAAAGGUUCUCCUUUAACUGUUGAUUUAAUUUGUAUUUUCGAUCUCCACCACUAGCCUCCCUAUUUCUAUUUUCUGAAUAGAAAGGCAUUUAUAAGUCCUAAUUUUGAAUGGUUAUGCUAUCUCUUUUAACAGAAUAUGAUGGUCAUGAGAUCUAGGAGAUGGCAACCCUGUUGGUUCUUCAAAUACCUCUGUAUAUUGGCUAAUAACCUCAGUGAUUUGGCAUGGAAUUUCUUCUUUCCCUUUCUCCACAAUAUUGUACAAAUGGCCAGCCAGUCCAUAAUGGUACCUUCUAAACAAAUUCUCCAUUUCCUCAACUUCCAUCAUUUUAACCCCUGGUUCUGAUCCUUCACUCCUCAAGAUAACCUCUUUCUGCUGGUGUUUGAACUUCACAUAUCCUAGGAUAAAGUCAAAUUUUAUGAGGCUGACUCAUCCAGUUCACCCUCAAUACCAUAGCACUACCUCCUAACUUCAGAGAUCUCAAAUUAUACUGGAACUCCCAGUUAUGCACCUUCCAAACCAGUGGUUGAUUCAAAGCUUUACUCUCCGGCUUUAUACCAUUAGCCACUCUCAUUGUCAUGGUUGUGGUUUCCUCAGUAGUGUAGUUCAGCUCCU
rnacentral:lncRNA from 1 species